rnacentral:rRNA from 1 species
AUUGAACGCUGGCGGCAGGCCUAACACAUGCAAGUCGAACGAGUGGCGGACGGGUGAGUAAUGUCUGUGAAACUGCCUGAUGGAGGGGGUUAACUACUGGAAACGGUAGCUAAUACCGCUUACAAUCGGAUGUGCCCAGAUGGGAUUAGUUAGUAGGGGGGGUAAAGGCUCACCUAGGCGACGAUCCCUAGCGGGUCUGAGAGGAUGACGAGCCACACUGGAACUGAGACACGGUCCAGACUCCUACGGGAGGCAGCAGUGGGGAAUAUUGGACAAUGGGCGAAAGCUUGAUGCAGCCAUGCCGCGUGGAUGAAGAAGGCCUUCGGGUUGUAAAGUACUUUCAGCGGGGAGGCGUUACCCGCAGAAGAAGCACCGGCUAACUCCGUGCCAGCAGCCGCGGUAAUUC